CAUAAAGCGCGCGUAGGCGGGCUUCAAGUCGGUCGUGAAAUCCUCAGCUCAACUGAGGAGCUGCGGCCGAUACUGUCGCUCUUGAGAACGAAAGGGGAGAGUGGAACUUCUGGUGAAGCGGUGAAAUGCGUAGAUAUCAGAAGGAACGCCGGUGGCGAAAGCGACUCUCUGGUUCGUUACUGACGCUGAGGCGCGAAAGCUUGGGUAGCAAACGGGAUUAGAUACCCCGGUAGUCCAAGCCGUAAACGAUGAGCACUAGGUAGAGGGGGCCUUGAGCCCUCUCUGCUGGAGAAAAUUUAUUAAGUGCUCCGCCUGGGGAGUACAGUCGCAAGGCCGAAACUCAAAGGAAUUGACGGGGGCUCACACAAGCGGUGGAGCAUGUGGUUCAAUUCGAAGCAACGCGCAAAACCUUACCUAGGCUUGACAUGCACGGAUUAGCCUCUGGAAACAGGGGUCACAGCCGAAAGGCCGGAACGUGCACAGGUGCUGCAUGGCUGUCGUCAGCUCGUGUCGUGAGAUGUCGGGUUAAGUCCCUUAACGAGCGAAACCCUUGCCGUUAGUUGCCAUCGGGUAAUGCCGGGAACUCUAGCGGGACUGCCGUGGUUAACACGGAGGAAGGUGGGGAUGACGUCAAGUCCUCAUGGCCUUUAUGCCUAGGGCAACACACGUGCUACAAUGGUCGGUACAAAGUGACGCAAGGCCGCAAGGCGGAGCAAACCAAUAAAGCCGACCUCAGUACAGAUUGUGGGCUGCAAUUCGCCCGCAUGAAGAUGGAAUCGCUAGUAAUCGCAUAUCAGCAGGGAUGCGGUGAAUAUGUUCCUGAGCCUUGUACACACCGCCCGUCAAGCCAUGGGAGCUGGCAGUACCCGAAGUCGCUGUAUCGACCCGCAAGGGAGAGAGGUGCCUACGGUAAGGCUGGUGACUGGGAGUAAGUCGUAACAAGGUAGCCGUAAAGGGCGAAUU
rnacentral:rRNA from 1 species